CACGUAGGGUGCGAGCGUUGUCCGGAAUUAUUGGGCGUAAAGAGCUCGUAGGCGGUGUGUCGCGUCGGCCGUGAAAACCUGCAGCUUAACUGUGGGCUUGCGGUCGAUACGGGCAUCACUGGAGUUCGGCAGGGGAGACUGGAAUUCCUGGUGUAGCGGUGAAAUGCGCAGAUAUCAGGAGGAACACCGGUGGCGAAGGCGGGUCUCUGGGCCGAUACUGACGCUGAGGAGCGAAAGCGUGGGAGCGAACAGG
rnacentral:rRNA from 1 species